AUUUUGUAGAGAUUGGGUUUUGCUAUAUUGCCCAGGCUGAUCUCGAAUUCCUGGACUCAAGUGAAGACAGACCCUGGAAAUGUUGGACUAAGAUCUCAGUAUCCUAUAGAUAAAUUCACGGUGAAAUGAAGGUGCUUAUGAAAAUGCAUUUUCGUCACAUAACCUUCAGGCUGUAGUUUUGGAUAAGAAGGAAAAGGGCAAGUUAAAGAAUAUUUUUAACUUAAAAAGUGUAAGCAAACUCAGUUUGCAAAAGACUAAUUGGAUUUUCUGCCUAGCCAUUCCUUAUUUCCCCAUUGCAUUGCACUUUUCCUGGAAGAAUUAGAUCAGGCUGGGCAAUUUAGCUUUUGGUUUGUAACCAGAUUCAUUUCCUAUCCCUCCUGGGUUUUAGCGGAGUUAGCUUUUAAACUAUAGGAGGGAAAAACCACAUUCUCACACUCAGAGCCAAGAUUUCAAAACGAUUUUUCAAACACCAUUGACUUCUCUAAUUAUCAAAUUCAAUUCUUCAGCACUGUACUUGGACCAUUCUAAACUAUCUAGUUUCUCAUAUCUACUGAUGAUAUAGCCAAAGGGCAGAGACUAAAUGUGGACUUCUUGCUCCUACUUACUGAAUUUCCUCAUUCAUGAGGAAUAACUCAUGCUUUGUCCCCAUGAGUAUAGGGCCAUCGUUAACCUACACAGAACCUUUGGAAAAUGGCAAAAUAUCCCAUCUUUGGGUAGAUGUACAAAUCACCUAGCAGAGGGUGAUUUUGUGAGAAACAAAAGGGCCUCCUGCCUCUGAAUAAAUGCUGCCCUAAUCUAGUGCUUUAGCUUUGCAUCAUAAAUAUAGCAGAGGGAGUUGAGCUAAUACUAGCUGCUAUAACAAACUAGCUCAAAAUGACCACUGGAUUAAAACAACAGAAGUUCACCUCUAGUUCACAAUAGUUACUUAUCAACCUCCAAUAGGCAGAUGGAAGAAGGCAGAGAAUGGAGAGGUCAACCUGCUUCUUGAUCUCUUUGGCCUAGAAAUAACAUGCUUUACUUCUGCUCGUGUUCCACUGACAAGAACCAGUCACAUGGAGCUUUCUAGAGGAUGGGGGGAGUUAGGAGGUAUAGUUCAUAUCUAGGUAGUCACUUUUCAGAUACAAGGGAAUUUCUGUUCCUUAUGAUUUAAUAACAUGCAUUUUGAGCAAGUCAAAAUGUUCUUGUGGAGCCCUACAUUCACCAGGACACCGCAGAGCUGCUAGUGUUCAAUUUAGGAGGCUGAGUUCCAAAUGCUUUUCAUAUGCUAACGGCUUCAGACUAUAAAUUCAUGUGAGCAUGGACUUGGGAGUCAGCCAGAAUUAUCUUUAAAAUCUCACAAAUUGCUUAGCCACUCAUAGUCUCAGUUCUCUCAUCUAUACAAUACAAAAUAGAGAUAAUAAGAACCCCAGUUCAACAUAAUGAAUCGAAUGGCUUGUUUGUCUCUGUUCCUUUCUGAAGUCCCAGUAAAAUAAAUAUGAAAUGUAACAAUGUUAUAAUCUUUAAACCCAAUUGGACAGUGACAGCAGAUAGAAAUGUCAAUACAUUUUAGCUGAUGGGUGGUGGACUCAAUGAAAGAGAACUGAUUUGAUGUAAUGAAGCAAAUAAAACUUUAUAAUGUAGUGAGGGGGUGAAGAAAGCCAGCAACAAGCAAACUGAUUUAUACCAUAGAACACUAUAAAGGCUCAGAAAUUGGAGAAAGGAGGUACAUCUGAAGAAAAGACUGUAAAAUUGAACUGAAAACAAGAUUAACUGCCACCAUCCUGGGAGCUGGAGAGAGAUGCAGUGCCACGUGAAACAUGGGCUUACAGACAAGUCUGUGAGUGAAACUAUUCUUGACACAAGGAUGCAAAAAUAAAAUGUGUGACCUGAAGAAACUCACAAUGCAUGAGUGAGGAAUGGACAAUUCCAGUACCCACUGGGGUCAAGGCCAUGCCAGAAAAAAGCAGGUGGCAUUGUGGGAAGUUCACGGUGAGACACACUCCCCAGUCUCAAGAAGCCUCCUGGAUGGAGGAGCUGACAUCUGAGACAAGUGUUGACAGACUUACGGACUGGCAGGAUUGGGUGAGGAGAAGUGGAAAAGGCCUCUCCAGCACCUAUGAAAGACUAAGUUUGAGAAAACCUCACCCAUUCGACAAAGUGCAAAUUAUUUAGUACAACAGCCAAGAGAUAAGCAGGAUGAGAAAGCCAGGGGAAGCAGCAGUAAGAACCUGUUCAAGAAGGCACAUCUCAGAUGUGGAAGAACCAUGAUUCAACUCGAGUCUGUCUGCUUCCCAAGACUGUGGUAUUUAAACAGCUUAUAACGAAAAUUCCUUCUAUAGCUCCCCAUAAAAGGGCACACAUUUCUUUCUUAAUGUAUUAUUUCAGGCAUUCAUUCACCACUCAUGUAUUUGUGAAGGUGUUCUCACUAAAUAAACUAUU